rnacentral:rRNA from 1 species
GACGUAGGGGGGCCAGCGUUGUUCGGAAUUACUGGGUGUAAAGGGUUCGUAGGCGGUGCGGCAAGUUGGGAGUGAAAUCUCUGGGCUUAACCCAGAGGCUGCUUCCAAAACUGCUGUGCUUGAGUGUGGGAGAGGCGCGUGGAAUUGCAGGUGUAGCGGUGAAAUGCGUAGAUAUCGGGAGGAACACCAGUAGCGAAGGCGGCACUCUGGGCCGGUACUGACGCUGAGACGCGAAAGCGUGGGGAGCGAACAGG